rnacentral:lncRNA from 1 species
GAAAAUUUUGAUUACUCUUUUAAAUUUUAUGUUGAUGUUAAAAGUGUAUAGAAUUUUUAUUGCUUCAACAAUAAAUUAAGAUAAAAGCUUGAAAUUAAAAAUAAUUUUACUUUGAUAUUAAAAUCAGUAGUUUUUAUGGGUAAAAAUCAUAGGAUAAGGGCUUUUUUUUAACUAAAUAAUAGUUUAAUGACUUGUUUAAAUAAAAUGUAAUAGUUUAAAGACCUUUUUAAUAUAUUUACCUUUGAAAAAAGGUUGAAAGUAAAAAUUAUAUUUAAAAAAUUAAAUAGGAAAUAAAAGUUGUAUAGGUAGCUACCUAAGUUGGAUUUGUUCAUUUACAAAUGAUAUUUUCAUAUUCAUUCAUUAGGAGAAAUUUAUCUUAAUAAGUACUUUUAUUGUGUUAAAAUUAUGUAUUUAGUCUUCAUACUUUAAUUUGAUAUAAAUUAAAAUGUAAGUCUUUUUUUUAAAGUCUGACUGUAGCUUUGAGCGACAAUUCAACAAUUCAUAUGGUAGAGUAGUACUCAUCAAGUAGAAGAACAUAUCUUAGAUCUAAGCUGGUAUGAUUAUCAGUGGCGAAGCCAAGAGGGGCAGGCAGGCCUGGGGCCCUUUUGGUUAAAUGGGAAAAUUUUCUAUUUAGCCCUUCCCGAAAUAUAAAUCAUUUAAAUUAAGUAUUUAAGCUCUUGGAUAAAUAAAAUUUUUCAUUUUUAGCCCCUCUAAAUAAUUAAUAAUAUAAUUUAAGCAUUUUAACAAAAAAAAUUUUAACCUUGUUCCUUCCAAAUUUUUUUAUAAUAUUAUCCCACCCCCAAAUAAAAUUUCUGACUUCUCCCUUAUUGAUGAUUUGUGUUAGAUAUCGAAGAAGAAAGUUAUUUGAAUUUUGGUUUGCAUAUUCAUGACAUUCAAAGUUGUUUCAUGAAGUGACACGGUAUCAAGCUGUGACACGGUUUGGCCACACGGCCUCGGCCUUUCCACAAUGUCAGGGGACACAGGCGUGUGACUCUUGUUUGCAUAAUUUUCCUAUUUUUCUAUUUUGUUUCAAUUUGAUACCUGAUUGAUACUGAAUUGUUUUUUAAGCUUCCUUAUGCUCAAUAUAAAACCGAAAUAGAUUGUAUUACAUGAUGUACUUGAUUAUAUUUGAUAUGAUGAUGAUUAAUUGAGAUUUUGAUAAAUAAUUUGUAUGUAAUUGUUUGGUAUUUAUUCGUAGCAUCCUAUUACUCAGGUUCAACAACCGGAUCGGGUAAGGGGCGUUAUAUGAAAAAAAAAAAAAGGUAAAUUAUAAAAGAGGAUAGAAAGUUUAUCCUUUCAAUCGGUGCCAAAGGUGAAAACGGAUAAGUCCACACAACAACAAUUUUAAAAUUAAGUGUCCAAUAACUUAAAUAAAAAAUUUUAAAUAAUUUAGUGACAAGUUUGUAAUUUUUAAAAUUGAGGAAUGAUGGAGUCAACAGAUCUCGGGCUUCCACGUAGUUGGUUCAGUGUGGCUGACUAUGCAAUAUCUCUCCCUAUAAAAAGCCUAACCCCAUCUCUCAAUUCUCCUCUUACAAUCAAAAUUUUCAUUUUACUGUGAUUCCAAUUCUUCCUGGCCUCUCUGUCUCCAUACAAAAACAAAAUCAUGGAGGAAAACGAAAAGAGAAAGCUUUCAAAGAAGAAACCAACCCACAAUCUUCCACAAGGUAUGGUAAAACAAACAGUUUUCCGAUCACAUCGUUACUAUUGCAACAACUUAAAUUUUACUCCGUAAUAUUAUCUUCCGAUUUAAUCAAUUCAGGCUCAAGUUCGAGGAUUUAAGAUUUAGGAUUUAAAAUUUAAAAUUUAAGAUUUAGGGUUAGUUUAAAUUAAAACCAAAUAAAUUACACUUUUUUUUUAUUUCAUCUAAUUAUUUUAUAUCUCUUUUUUUUUUCAGGUCAUCUAGGGCUGAUGCAUGGCAAAUCUUAUAUGAAAAUGGCUUCUUCCUCAUCAUAAUCUGGUGCUAUCCUACCUGAGCUUUCCUUCGUUUCUUUUCUUUUUUCUUUUUACUUAUUUAAUUAUAUAAAUAAAUAAUAUCUUCUUGACCUUGUAAGACCUUUUGUUGGGCAUGUAAAAGGCAUUCCAGUAUUUGGUGUUAUAGUAGUGGUUGGGUAUUGUUCUACACCAUUGCCACCCAUCUCUUCUUCUCCAUCCUUGUCUAUCCCUCCUGAGCUGAACUUUUUAACCUUUGUAAUAACACUACUGCUGUUCUUUUUCAUUUAUUAAGAGUAAAAGCUUUCACUUUCUUAUUUGGGUUGAGGCUAUGAAAGCCACCAUAAAUUCAAUUUUGUUACUCUAUGUGCAGAGAGAAUAUAUAUAUAUAUACACACACAUACAUAUAUGCUUUUGCAAGCACCGGUUUCGUUGUUUUAUAUGUUGUUGGGGGUGGAAAGUGAGAGAAUAAUUAAAUAAUAGGAAUAAUAUUUGAUUGUUAGUAAAAAAAAUCGCGAUAAAUAUCCUAAUUAUGAUAAAAAAUAAUUUUAUUUAAAAAAAUUAUAAUUAUUUUUUUCCCGAGUUAGG